rnacentral:lncRNA from 1 species
GAAGACAUUAUUUGAAUGAACAGCCCCGACCUCAAGGCACAUCUCAGCUGGCUUGCCAGCACUUCUGCAACCUCGUGUGGAAGAGCGGUCCAAACUUCAUGGAAACUAACCAAUGACCUUACCUCUCUCAUAAGGGUGUGAGGACUGCUCACCUAUCAGGAAACCACAAGAUUUCAAAACUACCAUGAGGAGAACCAGAUCACAUGCCACUGAAAAGUGCGCCCUGGAAGUUGGCACAACCACCUCCUGGAUGACCUCACUCCUGGCCAGGAGGGCCUCUGUGAAACUCUAGGCCCAGCAGUGCUUGACUUGACAUGCUGGGUCUGGGUUAGCCAGAGGCACAGCCUCCAGAGGCAUGGCGACAAUGAGGGUCUGCUCUUUGAGGAGAUUGGAGAGCUGGCACCGUUCUCCAAGGGACUACAUGGGAACAGCUUCUGCACAGAUCUUGGUAUCUCCUAAUUCUCAUGCCAGGGUCCCCUGAAGCCAAGGCACACCUUGCUGCAUGGAGGCCCAUCCUGAACAUCACAGUGAGCAUGAAGGAUGGAGGAUGUCAACUACAAGGCCCUUCAUUCACACGUCCCUUCCCACCCCAAUCCCACCCUCCAAUAAGAGCUUUGGUAGCCAGGCUGGCAGAUCACAUUUCCCCAGUGCUAGAGCUGAGAGAAGCAAGCUAAGACAAAACAUCUUGAGAAGAACUUAAAUAAUAGCCAGAGGGAUGCCAGAGCAAAAGCUAAGGAAAUUACAGGUAGCCAGAAACUAUAGAAAAGAGAGGAAAGGGAGAGGAUGUGAAAUGUCAGAGGAGAGGCAGAAUCUUACAAAUGUCCCAAGCAGAGAAAGGAGGUGUCACUUUCUUGGGUGUGUCUGACCUGGUUGUGGGCAGACAGGAGAGAAGGAGCUAAUGUCACCAAGCUGGCCCCAACACCUCCUUCCUCCAUGCAAAUGGAAGACUGAAAUCAGACUGGUCUGCAAUAGGCCACCCAGAGGCUUGGCAGUUUGAAAAAGUAGAUCUGAUUGCUAAAUGUGGAACUGAGUAUUAUACAAUCUGAGCUGGUCCAGUGAAAUCAGCACUUCAAUAUUCACGAGGGAGGUGUCUACCACCCUAGAGGAAAGUCUUAAUUGUGCAAAGAGGCAGAUGUGAGAGACCCAGAGUUGGGCCACCUUGUCCUAGGCCAUUUCCCCACAUUUCAACUUUUAGCAUGGGCUCUCCCACCACCCUCCAUGAGAAAAGGCACCUCCUUCCUCCCCUCAUCCCACCCCUUCCCAAUGCACUGCAUAGGUGAGGGAGGCAACAGAGCCAUGCCCAGUCCUAGAACAGAAAUGUGGACCAAGCAUACCGCAUUCAAACCCUGGAUGCGCACUAGUGAAAGAUUCAUUGAUUGUUUGUUGAAGGUGCAGCCAGAGGACAGGCCCAGGGGCCACUCCCCAGGCCAGCUGUGCCAGGCAGCACCUGCUGCCACACCACUGUCUUCUGCUCCAGCCCCUCUGGAGCCUAUGUCUUGUUCAUUGUUAUGGAAGCUCUUUCAUGCCACAGACAAAGAACCUUAACAAUCACAACUGACUUCUUUGUUAAUGGCAGUUUAUUGUUGUUAAAUUAAUAUUCCGGUUCUCACAUGAUCAAAUUCUCUGACUAGAAUCCAAGAAUAUAUUAUAAUCUAUAUUUUCUCAGAACCAGAGAAGAAAAGGUAGGAGAAUAAUUCUUAAUAGCAGGUCAACUUCUUCUCUGUCAAAGAACUCACAUGAUGGUGAUUUCCAGUGGACAGAGAAUUAAACAGGACCCAGGUGUCCAAGUGAAGCUCUGCAGGUAGAACCCCAGUGCCGAAGUCCACAUGGACACGGAGCCACCUAGCACUGGCAGCCGCCCAUUCUCUGGCAGGAAAUGAAGGAGAGAAGACCAAAGGCAAGACUUCUUCCAGAGACUCCAGCAAGCCACUGUACCAACUAUGCCUUAUUCAAAUGGUGUGCAGUAUAUUCUUCAUUAUAAUAAAAGGUCUACCCAUACAAUCACCCAGAGAGGUAACUAUUUUUACUAGUUGACAAAAAAAAGAGUAAGAAAGUUGAAAUCAUAAAUUCAGUUAAUAAAAUGUAUGACCUAGAUUCUAUAGCACAUGCUAGAAGGGGGAUCAAAAAUCUAGAUCCACGCUAGCAGCCAGUAAAAAAAGAGAGGCACAAUCAGUUAACAGGAUCCGCAGAUCAGUAUGGUAAAAUCAAAUCAAUUGCCUAGGAGAAGCAUAAUUAUUCCGGAGCAAGGGAGAAACUUCACGUUUUCAUAGACAGAUUUUGUGUGAUGGGAUCAGCAAUAUCCAUGACACCCUUAUAGUAAACAGAGCCCAGUAGAACUCAUUACUUUUGUGUGAUGUUCUCAGAAUAGUUCAGAGGCUAGUGGACAAUAUGGGCCAAAGGUGAAAGCAAUUCCAUGGAGACUAAUAUAAUAUGGUCCAGGCACAGUGCUGUAAAUACACAGCAAGCACCUUGUGCUCAACAUGUGCCAGGCACUGUUCAGAGCACUUUGACAUAAUGUUUGAGUUUCUUACAAAAUGUUUCUAUUGAGUAAUUAAAAUAUAUUUGAAAAUCUAGAAGCACUGUUAGAGGACCUAGAACAGUGGUUCCUCAUAUUUGCCCCUCCUAUAACAGAUUCGAGGAGCCAACUCCUUUCCUAGCAGGCAUACUGGUCCAUACAGCAGUGGUGUGCAUGGCAGACAGGUCCCUCCCCCACCCCAAUCACUGUUCUAGAGGAACAGUGCAUCUUCCUCUUCUACAGGUCCUUCAAAAUCACCGUUCUCCAGCAAGCUUUUUAAAGGUAAACAGCAGUGAAAGAUAAUGUUCCAGAUGGAAACCCACAGUAUCACUAUCCUUUGCUUUUGAUGAAGUCAGAGCCAUGUGUUUUCAUGAUCUAUAUAGGACUAGGAUGUUAAAAAAAACUGCGUUCUUCAGAAGGGCAUAGGCCAGGAUCAAAUGCCACCUCUGCCUGGAGAAAAACUUGGAAAGCAUCUGAGAACAGGGCCAAGAAGAGGAUUGUCUUGCUGAAUGCUAAUACUCAUCAGCCUAAGUUGGAAUUUGCUUAAGCACUGAGAGUGCUGGAAGCCAGGAAGCAGUGUGAAGAUGCUGACAGUCUGGGAUUUCUGUUCCUGGGAAAAUGAACUCUUGCCGAAAGAGCAGUGGGUGGGUCCCACAGACCCUGCUCGGAGCUAUUUUUAGAGCAUUUGUCCCUGACUCCCACCUAGUGGCUUCUUCCAGCACUGCACAGGGACAAAGAACCACCACUGAUGCCACCUGAGCCCGGCCCAGGAGCCCCUUGGGAGCUGAGCGCAGAAAGAAAGCACGGACACACCUACUCCUUUCUCAUCUCUCACUCAAGUUCACACCUGUCACAGGGGAGCAGCCCAUUCUUCUGAUGGACCACAGAUGCUCCAGUGCCAGAAGAUCUGCAGUCCCAGAUGAGCAGCAGCAGUACAAGAUACAUUUCCCACUAUGUAAUCCCUCCCCUCUGCUAACAGUUGAUUCACUCUGGGGUAGACACUGGACCUAAGGUGUGCAUCCAUAGCUUGUGAAUAAAUUAAAAGUCUUUAAUGUCUAUUUCUUUUACACUUAACGCUUCUUCAUUGAUCUGGAGGACUUCGCUCAAAAAUAAUUAACUGGGUCAAUCAGAUCCUUUUCCUUAGAAACUUGAGUUUAAAAAGAAAACAUAUUGAGAAAACAUGGAAAGAAUUUGUCAGCCAACAAGAGUAAACUCAAACCUAACAGAAGUCUGUGGCAGUCACUCUGAGCUGUCUUCCUGAGGGCCACUUUCCCCCACUCUAUCAUCAUUCUUUUCUGACAGAGGCCACCUCCCUCUAUGGCAGGUGGAAGUGCCAAUACUUGCUUUCCCAGCCUCCCUUGCAGCUAGGGUAUGCACAGGUGAACAAAUUCUGGCCACUGCAGCUAAAUGGGAAGUCUGCUAGGGGGUUGCAGAGAGUUUCCCUCCUGAUUAAAAACAACAAAAACAUACUAAAGAAAUGAUUCUCUACCUCUGCACACAGUUGUAUAGUUGUGUCUUGUAAGGACAUGUUGCCUGCAGUUCUAGUGGCCAUCUUGCAACUGUUAUGGGAUGUGCCUGAGCAAAAACCACCCCUUGAGGAUGGCAAAGAAAAAAGAUGGGAAGAACCAGUACCCAUGAGGUCACUCAGAGCCACUUAUUUAACCCUGGGACUGUCUGUCUUCUGGACAUCUUGUUAGUGGUCUAUCUUGUUAUUGUUUACAUCAUUUUACUGGAAAAAGUAUCCCAACUGAUAUAGGUGUCACGAGGCAGAGUUGGACCAUGUCAGGCCAGUGUCAUGGCCAAGCAGGAAUUCUAGGUGUGAACAAUGCCAAUGUGUCUACAGAGGAGAAGGGAGCAAAUAUGCAAGGGAUGCACAGACAUCAUGCAUGAGAAGGCGCUGGGCAGUGCUGCCUAAUCCUUCAAACCAUCUUACUAGUUCCAACUCCAAUCCUAACCCACAUGGGACUUUAAAAAAAUAAUUCAACUGAGUCUCCAGGGUUGAACGCAGCGCUUCUUAAACUUUAAUGUGCUUACGAGUCACCUGGAGAUGGUUCAGCAAGUGUGAGAUGGGAGCCCAUAGUCUGCAUUUUUCACAAGCUACGAGGGGAUAAGAAAGCUGCUGAGCCACAGACCAAAAUUUGAGCAGCAACAACUUCUAACUAAAAGUGUCAAUCUAAAGCACUUGAUGAGUUUGCUCACCAGUCUGAAUUCUAUUCCCAUACAGAUUAAGACCUUGUGUGGAAUGUGGAUGUGCUGAUCAUAAAAUGACUUUAGGUCUGCAAGAUCUAAAACACAGACAGGCUAUCUCUGUCCAGAAUAAAAACCUUAACAUGCAGCCCUUACAACUUGGAAUGUUUAUAUGAACUUCUGACCCCCUAAAAGUACUUGCUUCGCCAUGCAUAGGUUAGUGAUGGCCAUAAUUACUCUAGAAGAUUUAUGAAUGCAAUCACUUUUAGGGAAAUCUCUUCAAAGGAAGGCAUUCCCUAAACCAUUGUAAAUAACCCCAAGACAAAACUGCAAAUCUGAAUGCAAGCUGUUUUCUACCAAUGCAUCUUGAAAAAACCAACAACAAUGUCAACUGCCUUUGGAUCAAAAAUAUUUUUAAUAAAUUUCCAAAAACUGUUUUAAAAGUUAGAUUCAUUGUUUAUACCAAAUGCUAAAAAAUAUUGUUGAUGGAUUGGAGUUAACCAUAAAAUAAAAAUCAAACCAUAAACUUACUAGAGGAAGAUACAGGUGAACAGUUAUCUGUUCUGAGGUUGGGAAAGGCGUUGCUAGGGCCAAAAGGAAAACAAGAAACCAAAAUAGGAAAGACUGAUAGAGUCAAGUACAGUUGUUUAAAAUUCUGUGUCUCAGAAAGCACCUAAACGUUAUUUAAAAACAGAGUGAGGAAAAUAUAUGCUACAAAUAAAGCAAACGGCUAAUAAAAGGUCAUUCAAAUAGAUAAGAAAAACACUAAAAUCCUAAUAGAAAACAACAGCAUAGACUACGAAUAGACUAGAGUGGGAGAGGUGCAUCCAAGAGGCUCAAGGUGAUUUCUGGGUGUACAGGGAAAAAUAUGGGAACUAUUUUUUAACCUAUCCUUUAAAACUCUAUUUUGGUGAACAGUGGAUACCCUAAAUACCCUGACUGACUUGAUCACUAUGUGUUAUAUACAUGUAAGGAAAUUUCACAUGUACCCCAC